rnacentral:lncRNA from 1 species
GGACUAUCUGGAAACGGGAACACAAAUUCAAGCUUUGUGAAGAGAAUUAACCGAUCCAUUAAUCCAUCAUCUUCAACAAGGAAUUACUUGAUAUCCGAGAGAAUCCGAUUCAAAACUGCAGAAGAAGAAAAAGAAGAAGAAGAGAAAGGUCUCGCAAUCUGCUCUACAUUUACCGACACCGACUGAUUGCAAGCAACCAGGGGGACAAGCUUUCCGAAAUUGAAUCACAAGGUCUCACCCAAUCAAGUAGAUUCGGAAUCAGUAUGAAGCUCAGCAGCAUCUACCGACAGGAAUUUAGAUCUGAGGCGAAUGAGCUGCGGUGACAGUCUUGCUGGUCUUCAAACAGGACCUUGACAGGAGUUCAUGUCGGCAUUCCACAG